UCCCGCUUACACGGGCAGUCUCCUAUGAGUUCCCACCUUUAGUGCUGGCAACAUAGAACGAGGGUUGCGCUCGUUGGCGGACUUAACCGUACACCUCACGGCACGAGCUGACGACAGCCAUGCAACAAGUGUCUUCAGGUCCCCUUGUGGGGGAGGGCCCCGUUUCUGGGGCUUGCCAUCGAUGUCAAAUCUGGGUAAGGUUCUUCGGUUAGUAUCGAAUUAAUCCACAUGCUCCACCGCUUGUGCGGGGUCCCGUCAAUUCAUUUGAGUUUCAACCUUGCGGCCGUACUCCCCAGGCGGGAUACUUAGUGCGUUAGCUGCGGCACAAGAGGGAUCAAUACCUCUUACGCCUAGUAUCCAUCGUUUAGGGCGUGGACUAC
rnacentral:misc_RNA from 1 species